rnacentral:lncRNA from 1 species
UCUUGGUAAAAAUGGCUAACGGCACUUGUUCAACAUAUCCAAUGAUGAAUAUUCACAAAUUUCAAAUGACUGACUGCACAAAACACGAGUAAAGCAUGGCAGUGGAAAAAAAGAAAAAAAGAAAAAAAAACGUAAUUUUAGAGUCAUCUUCGUAGGUUCGAGCAUGAACAACUGCGGAAUGAAUCUCUGCCCCUCUACGAUUCAAGUCAUCAUUGCUCCUUUCCAUGUUGCAGAGUAGAAGGCAAGAAAGAUCGGCCAACUUAAUUUAAUCGAUCUUCCAUCUUGAUGCAGGGUUUUAACCCAAAGGAAAAAAGAAAA